CUGCAGAUCUUCAAGAGCUCGUUACAAUCCAAAAGCCUCGCCGCCUCUUCUAUGUCCACAAUCUUGCUCUGAGUGAUUACCACUUUCCCUGUGUAGACAAAUUCCAAAAACGUGGAAAAGUCCCCGGGCUGCAUGAUGGAAAGCGGGAUGUUGUCCCGUGCACCACCGUCCCGAGAGAGGAAUAUGUUUUUAAAGUAACCGCUGGAGGCGGCAAGGAUCACCUGGUGCGCCUGGAAAGCCUGCACGUCUCCCUGGUAGUCCACCUGCACGGUGACGUCACUGAGGAGACCUUGCAGUCUCAGGUUGUGCAGAGAGUCCAGGAUGUGCUCGUGGUGGGAAGUAGAGCGCUGUGACAUAUGAAACAUUCCCAGCAUGUAGUGAGACGUCAUCACGUGUCUGACAACAUGCGUAAACUAGCAGGCGAGUAGACUUGCCUGGGGUCACCGAAUGUUUGUUGAAACGGUUCGAAGGCAGAACAGGAAGUGGAAGAGGUCACAUGAUCCACCAGCUGACUUGCAACAGUACUUCCCUGUGUGCAUCCCCGAGUCAAGCUGUGCGUCUUGUGCUCCCGGAUCUUCCCUGCUUCCCCCGCGCUUCCUGGUUCUCGACUCCUCGCUCGCCCCCGGACUACGACGACUCGCUCCUGCCUCUCGACCACGCUUCCGCCCUUGGACAUCCCUGCCUGCCUUGCCCCUUGUUUGACAGCACCGCUCCUCCCAACACGCACCUCCAACAUUUACGGUAAAACGUUCCAGAUAAAUACUACACAUAGUCUUACACCAUACACACUCUUGGAUUUUGUCACACUCCAUUUCCUUUUGGUUAAUAUUAUUAUUGUCUUAUUGUUAUAUAUAUACCGUAUAUUACCAAAUAGUAGCCCGGGCGUUUAUUUUACAAAAUGGGGUCAGACCCCGGGCGGCUAUUAGGACAUGGGCGGUUAUUUGCACAAGGCUUUUAUUUAUUUUUGCACCAGCCUGCACCAGGCCAUUAUUUGGUUACAAUGGUUACUGUCCAGUAUUUUUUUUUCGUACAAACAAUUUUAAAUGUAAAAGCUAUUGUAAACAUACAAACAAAAAAACAAGACUAUCAAAAGACAAGAGAUCAACAAGGCCUCAACAUGGCAGUACUGCAACAAUUGUCAAAUAGAAUACCAAUACUAAAAAUAAAUACACUUUUUAAAUAAAGCAGCCUACUGGGAAAAAUAAAAUUAUGGUACCAAGUACUCAAGUAUUAAAAAACACACCAUCAAAACAGAACAAUAAUAUUGUCACUUAAAUAAAAUAAAGGCUACAGUACUCAAAGUUUUGAAUAAAGCAGCAUACAGGAAAAAUACAAUUAUGGUACCAAGUACUCUAUAAAACCAUCAAAACAAUAAUACUGCAGCAAACGCAACCCCAAAUGCAACUCAACCCCACUCAUCAUCCUCCUUCUCCUCCUCCUCUCCCUCACCCCCCUCAUCAUCAUCCUCCUUUUCAAUCACAAGUUCAUUGAGGAACUGCUGUUCUUCAUCACUCUCCUCCUCUUCCUGAACCACAGCAGCAGCCUGCUGUCUAGCCCUCAACAGCAUCUCUCUGCCUGCCUGACAUGGCUGUCCCUCCUUGAGGCAGUAAAUGAGCUGGUCCUCACUCCCAUCAGCUGCCACCGUCAGCCCACACACCUUGUAGGAUACCAGAAAGCAACAUUCAGCUAUGGCUACUGUUUGCAACACACACACACACACGAUUAAGCCAGCCACUUGUUGCACCAAACACCACCCCGGUGUCACUCGCGGUGACAUACAACUCCUUUGCCUUAAUGCGGAUCAUUUUGCGGGACACACGGUGGUUCAGUCCACGAACGUGAUGUAUCCAGUGACACAAAUUAGCAUCAAGCUCGUCGCUCACUUUCUUCCUACCUCCAUCCGGGGGGGGCGUUUUCCAUCGAUUGCCGACUGAGAUAGUAGUUCUCCCUUUUUUUGUUUCCAUUCUUGUACACGUUUUGGGUCAACGUUAAACUGCCUGGCCGCUGCCAAACCAGAAUUCUGCUCCGUAUACUUCACAAUCGCUAGCUUGAACUUUAAGUCAAGUCAAACUUUCUCUUCUUCCCCCUUAAAGUAUUCCCGUCCAUCAGUUGUGGUGUAGCGGUAUCCUGUUCAUUCAACUCACUGCUACUUUUGCUUUCCAUGUUGAAACUUUUCCUCGUGGGUUUGUUGUGUGUUACGCUAUAUGCGGUGACCUAUUGCAAUAUGUUGAUUACCCAGAAUCCCCACGUGACGUCUGCUGUUACCGUAAUGACCAGAA